rnacentral:rRNA from 1 species
GACGAACCGUGCGAACGUUGUUCGGAUUCACUGGGCUUAAAGGGCGCGUAGGCGGGCUUGUAAGUCAGGGGUGAAAUCCUCCGGCUCAACCGGAGAACAGCCUUUGAUACUGCAAGUCUCGAGGGAGAUAGGGGUCUGUGGAACUUCCGGUGGAGCGGUGAAAUGCGUAGAUAUCGGGAGGAACACCUGUGGCGAAAGCGGCGCACUGGACCAUAACUGACGCUGAGGCGCGAAAGCUAGGGGAGCAAACAGG